CCCUUAGAUGUUCUGGGCCGCACGCGCGCUACACUGAUGCAUUCAACGAGCCUAUCCUUGACCGACAGGUCCGGGUAAUCUUUGAAUCUGCAUCGUGACGGGGAUAGAUUAUUGCAAUUAUUAAUCUUCAACGAGGAAUGCCUAGUAGGCGCAAGUCAUCAGCUUGCGUCGAUUACGUCCCUGCCCUUUGUACACACCGCCCGUCGCUCCUACCGAUUGGGUGUGCUGGUGAAAUGUUCGGAUCGGCCGUUUGUCGCGGUUUCCGCGUCAUGUGGCUGAGAAGUUCAUUAAACCCUCCCACCUAGAGGAAGGAGAAAUCGUAACA
rnacentral:rRNA from 1 species